GGAUCAACAUCGGGAGAAUCUGGUGAACACCAGUGCCGAAGGAGCAUGCGCCCCGCUAAACUCUCAGGCAACAGGGACCGAUGUUGAACA
rnacentral:ncRNA from 2 species